AUCAGGUGACUUCAGUCUCACAUGUACAUAUCAUGCAGGCUGGGAUUUUUCCAUUCAUUUUGUUGGACAACACCCAGAUACCUACUUUUAGAAAUUAAGCAAGCACGGAAAUGAAUCAUUUGCAAAUGCCCUCUUCCAGACACCAUGGAAAAAUGUAAGAAUGGAUCAGACUGAGUCUUAUCUCAAGGAACUACAAACCCUAAAUCCAUGAGAAGGCAAAGACUUUUUUGAUAUUGCUGAAUUACACUGGAAGACUGGGUGGUAAGCCUUCAACAAAUAAUGGUUAAGUGGAUGACUAUGGUCUAAGAAGGGGAAUGUAUGCUAUAUAGACGUAGAAAGGAAGGAAAGAGAAAAAAAGAAAAAGAAAGGAAAGAAAAGGAAGGAAGGGAGGGAGGGAGGGAAGGGAAGGAAAGAGAAGGAGAGACAAUACUAAAACUAAAGUACUUAGAGCCAGGGGGAACUUUAGCAGUUACAUAAUCUAUGAAAAACCAGUCCAAGGUAUUCCAUUUAAUAAGUGUUAAUAAGUGAUUGAAUUGAGAAUUAGUGUUUCAUUUAUAGUUCUCAAUACAAUGUUUUCCCAACAAUGUAGUAAAAUAAACAAAUAUGUACUAAAUACCCAAGGUGAACUGAGGCAGGAUCAGGCUUUAUAAAGGAUAUAGGAAAAAUGUGACUAGAUUUCUUUGCACAUUACUGUGUUUGCACAAUAAAUGGUAACUAUCAUUUAUUAAGUAGUUCAUGUGUAGAAUUCUGAGGAUGCCUCUUAUUAAUAAAACUAUAACUACAAAUACUUCUCAAGAAGUAAAUAGGAAAAUAAGAGCAAAAGGAGUCAACAUAUUUUUAUUUUCUUUAUUUUAUGUAUUUAUUUAACUUUUAUUUUAGGUUCAGAGGUACAUGUGCAGGUGCGUAACAUAGGUAAAUUGGUGUUAUGGGGGUUUGGUAUACAUAUUAUUUUGUCACCUAGGUACUAAGCAUAGUACUGGAUGGUUACUUUUUUCAGGUCCUUUCCUUCCUCUCACCCUCCUCCCUCAAGUAGGACCCAGUGUGUGUUGUUCCCCUCUAUGUGUCCACGUGUUCUCAUUAUUUAGCUCCCACUUGUAAGUGAGGAUGUACAGUAUUUGCUUUUCUAUUCUUGCAUUAGUUUGCUAAGGAUAAUGGCCUCCAGCUCCAUCCAUGUUACUGCAAAGGACAUGAUCUCAUUCCUUUUUAUCGCUGCAUAGCAUUCCAUUGUGUAUAUGUACUAUGUUUUCUUUUUCCAGUCUACCAUUGAUGGAAACUUAGAUUUAUUCCAUGUCUUUGCUAUUGUGAAUAGCACUGCAUUGAACAUACAAGUGCAUGUGUCUUUAUGGUAGAACAAUUUAUAUUCCUUUGGUUAUACACCCAGUAAUGGAAUUGCCAGGUAAUAUGGUAAUUCUGUUUCUAGCUCUUUGAGGAAUCUCCACACUGCUGUCCACAAUGGCUGAAUGAAUUUAUACGUUCACAAACAAUGUAUAAGGGUUUCCUUUCGUCCACAACCUCACCAGCAUCUUUGACUUUUUAAUAAUAGCCACUCUGACUGAUGUAAGACAGUAUCUCAUUGUGGUUUGAUUUGUAUUUCUCUGAUGAUCAGUGAUAAUGAGCUUUCCUUUUAUAUGCUUAUUGGCCAUUUGUAUGUCUUCUUUUGAGAAGUGUCUGUUCAUGUUCUUUGCCCACAUUUUAAUGGGGUUGCUUUUGCUUGUAAAUUUGUGUAAGUUCCUUGUAGAUUCGGGAUAUUAGACCUUUGUCAGAAGCACAGUUUGCAAAAAUUUGUUUACCAUUCUGUAGGCUUCCUGUUUACUCUGUUGGUAGUUUCUUUUGCUGUGUGGAAGCUCUUUGGUUUAAUUAGAUUCCAUUAGUCAUUUUUUGCUUUUGUUGCAAUCGUUUUUGGCAUCUUCGUCAGGAAAUCUUUGCUCAUUCCUACAUCCUGAAUGGUAUUGCCUAGGCUAUUUACAAGGGGUUUUUAUAGUUUUGGGUUUCACACUUAAGUCUUUAAUCUAUCUUGAGUUGACUUUUGUAUAUGGUAUAAUAAAGGGGUCCAGUUUCAGUCUUCUGCAUCUGGCUAGCCAAUUAUCCCCAGCACCAUUUGUUAAAUAGGAAUUCAUUUUCCCAUUGCUUGUUUUUGUCAGUUUUGUCAAAGAUCAGAUGGUCAUAGGUGUGCAGUUUUAUUUCUGGGCCAUCUCUUCUGUUCCAUUGGUCAAUGUGUCUGUUUUUCUCCCAGUACCAUGAUGUUUUGGUUACUGUAGCCCUGUAGUACAGUUUGAAGUCAGGUAAUGUAAUGCCUCCAGCUUUGUUCAUUUUGCUUAGUAUUGUCUUGGCUAUUCAGGCUCAUAUGAAUUUUUAAAUAGUUUUUUCAUAUGAAUUUUUGGUUUCAUAUGAAUUUUUAAAUAGUUUUUUCUUGUUUUGAGAAGAAAUGCCAUUGGUAGUCUGAUGGGAGUAGCAUUGAAUCUCUUCAUUCCCUUGGACAAUAUGGCCAUUUUUAACAUUAUUGAUUCUUCCUACCCAUGAGCAUUUGUUUGUGUCAUCUCUGUUUUCUUUGAGCAGUGUUGUAUAUUUUUCAUUUUAGGGAUGUUUCACUUCCCUGGUUAGCUGUAUUCCUAGGUAUUUUAUUCUUUUUGUAGCAACUGUGAAUGAGAUUUCAUUCCUGAUUUGCCUCUGGGCUUGGAUGUUGGUGUAUUGGAAUUUUAUUGAUUUUUGUACAUUGAUUUUGUAUUCUGAAACUUUGCUGAAGUUGUUUAUCAGCUAAAGGAGCUUUUAGACAGAUACUAUGGGGUUUUCCAGAUAUAGAAUUAGGUCCUCUGCAAACACAGAUAGUUUGUCUUCCUCUUUUCCCAUUUGGAUGCCUAUCAAAGUAAUUUUAAAUAGCACCAUAACAUUUAUAGACUUUGUCACACUAUACAUAAUAUUUAUCUUGGUUCUUUUCAAUAAACAGCUUACUAAACAUCUUUCAAUGUCAUGAGGCAUUUAUUUUUUAAGAUAAACUAAGGCUAUUAAAUGUUUCUUUUUAACUUCAGUUAUACCGUAUCUCUAGUGUUCUUUGGAAGUCUUAAAGUUUUUCAGCUUUGAUUUCUGAAUGGUGCCUUUCCCUGAGGAUGUUAUCCUGUAGAAAAGGCAGAUUAAUCCAGCAUAUAUCAAAUAAGCUGCUCAUUUUCCCUGAAGUAAGCUGAACAGCAUUGCGGAGUCAGACCAAGUGCUGGAAAAUACCUUCCUAGUAUCUAGACAGCAAUUGCAGGCAUACUUGGGAACUUGCUUCAGAGAGUGGUGUUUUUCUUUGUUAUUUGUUUUUAUGUUUUUUUUUUUAAUUCUUUUCUUAUUUUUAUGUUAGAUUUGCUUUUAGGGUAAAUAAUGACAAAACAUGAAAUAAGAUGGAGAAAUAUUUGCUGUAAGAUCAAGCAACAAUUUGAAUUUUUGCUUUUGCUGAGAUAAUUUUUGGCAUCUUCAUCAGGAAAUCUUUGCUUAUUCCUAUGUACUGAAUGGUAUCGCCUUGAAUACCUGAAUGGUAUUAACAUUCCAAUACCUGAAUGGAAUUGUUAUGUUACUUUACAUAACAGCUGCACAAGGGACGCUCACUAGCACAAGAACGGCAAGGAGGAAAUCCACCUCCAUGAUCCAGUCACCUCCCACCAGGCCCCUCCUCCAAUUCCACAGGAGAUUUGGGCAGGGACACAAAUCCAAACCAUAUUGUGUGGCUAAAUGAAAUUAUCCGUAACACCUGCCAUCACAGUCUUAAUAAGUGGUACAAGAAUAGUCUCAGAACUCUUUGUUUCAAUUGGCCAUUUAAGUUUAAUAGUAAAAAACUGGGUAAUGAUAACAACGCACCAUAAAACCUUUAGAAGAAAAGAAGAAUGUUUUGUGGACUAUUUUGGCCUUUUCUGCAUGGGGCAGUUUUAAGUUAUUAGCUUUUAAAGUGAGUAAUUUUUAAUGGAAACAACUUGAUCAAAAAUCUGCCACAGAAUUUUGAGACCCAUUAUAACAACAUUUAAUGAGAAAAAAUUAUAUAGUAAUCACUCACGUUUAACUUAUGUACCUUUUCUAGAACUUAAAAAGUCUGGAUUAGAAUAUAGAUAGCUAUGUUUAUUUCUUAGCUCUCAUUUCAGAAUCACAAGUUCCUCGAAGUUAUAAUGUGGGUUGAUUUGUUUGUUACCUGAUGUUCCUACACUAUAUAUUAAGUAUUCUAGGUGCUGCUGCAAAAUAUUAGUUGACAUUACUAAUUAAUUAACUUCAGACUUAAAAAUUAUACACGGCAAAUUAUUUAACGUAGUCACUAAAUUAAACCUUUUUAACAUUCAAGAGCAAUCCAUGUUUGCUAAAGAAUAUUGAGAAUAUUUAGAAUAGAGUAUAAGCCAUAAUAAGAAAUCAAAAUUGUUCAUAGGUUCACAAAUAAGAGAUGCAUUUGUUCAUUCAACAUUGUUCACCACCACAAGGGUUUAGGCUGGUCCCUUUGGGUACAGAGCUCAGACAAGCCCUACAUUCACAAUGCCUACGUUCCCAUGGUGGGAGACAAACUGCAAACAAAAUGAGCAAACAAAACCAUAAAACUUGGAAGCAGUAUGUUCUGGGGCAAAGAUCACGAAGUGGGAAAGAAUUUGAUGUAUGUGAAGCUUUUGUAGCUGAAGCAGAGGAUGAGAAUGGAAUGAACAUGUAGAUGUUCACGAGGGCCAGUGUUAGGAAGUUGAAUUUUUACUGUUAAGUACAAAAGGAAGCCAUUGAAAGCUUUUAGAUAGGGAACUAAUGUCGCGUUAUUGGAAGGAAAUAAACCCCCCAAACAGGAAGGCAAAACCAAACCAAACCACACUGAUUGCUAUAAGGAUGGUGGGGGAGCAAAACUGGAUCAAAAGAGCUCCAACAGGAAGCAGCUGCAAUAGUGCGUCUAUCUAAGAGAUGAUGUGGCUUAUGUUAAGGGGAUAGCAGAGGAGGAGAGAAGAUGAUACAGUCAAGAUGUAUUUGGGAAAUAGAACUAAGAAGACUUGCUGAUAGACUGGAAGGGGGUAGGAGGAGAGAAGAAUGAUCCUGGGAUAUUUUACUGGAACACAAAGUGGACAAGAGUUCUGUUUCCUGAGAUGGCAAGGGCUGACGGAGAGUUAGUGUGGCAGAGACCUGUGCUUUUCAUGCAUUACCAAUACUCCCUUUCUUUCUUGGUGUCAGAAUUCAGAUUUUAUUAAGGAUGGGAAUGGAUCCAGCCAAAAUCCAUUGCUGCCUUCCCUUUCUUGAAGCUAGGUAUGUGGCCUUCAGCUGGGUUAUGGACAAUGAGAUACACAUACUCAGAAGUAUCAUGUGAGAUUUCUAUAAAGGUGUUUGAGACUACAUGAUGUGACCCUUUUGUAUUAAAGCUAAGCAUACGUUCAUCUGAAAACGUAGCACUUCUUUUCUUAGAUAAAUAUCUAGCAAAAAAUGCAUACAUAUGUUUACCACAAGGCAAGUCCAAGAAUAUUUAAAACAGCACUCUUUCUAUAACUUCAAAUUAGAAACAGGCCAAAAUGCCCAUGAACAAAUAGAAUGGAUAAGUAAUUUUUGGCAUAUUCAUUCACAAUGAAAACUGCUGCAAAAUGCCACAAGAUGAAUGAAUUUCACAAAUAUAAUGUUAAACAAAAAGCAAGAUACAAAAGAAUACAUAUUAUUUCAUUUACAAAGGACAGUAACUAACAUAUGAUGUAGGAAGUCAAAGAGUAGAUAGCAAUGGGAAGGCGGUGGGGUUGAUGAUUGGGAGAAGCCAUUGGGGGAGGUUUUAGGGGUACUGGUGAUGGUCCAUGUUUUUAUAUGAGUGCUGUUUUCAUAAGUCGUCAUUCACUUGGCAGAGUGUCAAAUAUAAUAGGCAUUCAUUAAAGACAUGUGUUGAAUAAACUUGUUGAAUUUAAGGUGAGAAGGAGUUUUACCAGUGAGAAAAUAGCUGUUGUAUUAUUGCAGUACUCCAUAAUAAUUUAUACUCCUACUGAAACAAAAAUAACAAACGUGGUUAGGUUGUGCUUCACAUAUUCUUUUUAAAGC
rnacentral:lncRNA from 1 species